GGCCCCGUAGCUCAGCGGUAGAGCAGCCGACUCAUAAUCGGUCAGGUCGCAGGUUCGAAUCCUGCCGGGGCCA
rnacentral:tRNA from 1 species